GGAGAUCAAUUGCUUCAAGUUAAGACACAAAAUUUGGGUGCUUAACGUUUAAAAUAAAUGAUUGUUUGGUGUUGAUUCAUCAAAAUACAGUUUUGUUUUAAAUAUAUAUAUUUUUUAUUUUCUACCUUUAAUUAAUACGUUUUUUUUUUGUUUUAUUUUAACCCGCGAUGCAUGCUGGGAUGUCGGCUCCGUUUAGAACGCACGCCAAACAAAAUAUGCUUUCUUGUCCUGACAAAACCCCACAACAAAUAACAUAAUGACAAAAAAAACCCAAUUAUUAUCAUCGGAGUGGAAGAAAGGCACACAAACAAACCAACUGACAGCAGUAUGUGAGGCAAGCGGCGGCGGAGAGCAGACACACGAGGACCACCAUGCAGGCCGCGAUGACCACGUUCCUCCGCUUCUCCUCCUCGGCCUGCCGGAGCUCCCACCACUCCAGGUCGCUGAACUGGCAGCGCUCGCCCAUGUAGCCUGACACGCAGCUGGUGAGCAGUACCUGGUUUGGCAAGCGGAUGCACCACCGUCACGGACGCGGGUUGGAGCAGGUUGCCAUGGAGAUGUCGCAGCUCCCUCCCGGCCCUCUUGUGCACGCUGGUUAGCUGCUGGUGCUCCCUGUCCACCACCCACAACCUGUCCUCAAACACGGCCAAGUCGAAAGGCCGGCCUGGGAAAAAUGAGGCCAGUGAUUUGACGUUAGGAUCCGUCGGUCAGAACCAUCCAGCGCGGACGUCUCCACCCUUGUCCCGUCGCACCAGAACAGGCGGUCCUCCGUGAAGUCGACCGUCAGACCUCCGGGCGACACAAGGUCGGUGCUUGCGAUCACCGCGCGGUCCGUCCCGUCCAGAUUAGACGUUUCCACCUUCGGGUGUAGUCCGAUAUCCGCCCAGAACAACUUCCUCAAAAAAGACACCGAGUGUAGAUAUACAGUAUAUAUUUUUGUCUUUUAAAAAGACAGGAGAAAAGUGGUCAAACUGACUUUUCCAGAGGAUGGACUGCGAUCGAUGUGGGUUGGUCAAGUCCGUCACUCAGAAGCGUUGUUCUGUUGAGUCCAUCCAAGGUACUGCUGACCACUGAUGACUGGCUGCAAGUGGAAAACCAGGUCUUAUUAACAAGAACUGAAUUCACACCUCAAUACAAACAUGUAGGGCACCUGGUAGACCUUGUCACAGUCCAGUACAGUUUGCGAUUGAUCCAGUCCAAAGCCAAUCUGUUGUUCAGGCCCAGACCUUCAGAGAUAAGACUUCUUCUAGACCCACCGUUCAUAUCGAUCCGUUCAAUUGUCUUCUGGGAAGUGCUGGCAAAGUAUACCUUUUAAAAUGCAUUAAAGACACACAAGUCAAGUCUAUUGACAUCUAAAAAUGUUACACAAACUAUAUUUUUUUGAAAUGCCAGCCCUCUAAUAGUAAACAAAACUCAACACAUUUGUGCAAAGGCAAGCACAGAUCAUUGAUUUAUUUGAAUUGUCCACUAGAUGCCGCUAUAUCCCCACAUAUCAACUGAACAUUUGAGCUCAUAAACCACAGGGAUGUUCAAAGUUUGCUUUAUUUGCACAUACCAUCCAUCCAUUUCCUACCGCUUAUU